rnacentral:rRNA from 1 species
GACGAACGCUGGCGGCGUGCUUAACACAUGCAAGUCGAACGGACUACUUUGCUUCGGUAAGGUGGUUAGUGGCGAACGGGUGAGUAACGCGUAGACAACCUACCUCUUAGAUGGGGACAACAUCGCGAAAGCGGUGCUAAUACCGAAUGAAGUGACUUUCCUGCAUGGGAGAGAUACUAAAGGUGGCCUCUAUUUAUAAGCCACCACUGAGAGAUGGGUCUGCGUCUGAUUAGCUAGUUGGCGGGGUAAUGGCCCACCAAGGCGACGAUCAGUAGCCGGGCUGAGAGGAUGAGCGGCCACAUUGGGACUGAGACACGGCCCAAACUCCUACGGGAGGCAGCAGUGGGGAAUCUUCCGCAAUGGACGAAAGUCUGACGGAGCAACGCCGCGUGAGUGAAGAAGGUUUUCGGAUCGUAAAGCUCUGUUGUUUGAGACGAAUGUGCCUGUUUCAAAUAGGGAUAGGUAAUGACGGUAUUAAACGAGAAAGCCACGGCUAACUACGUGCCAGCCGCCGCGGUAA